UGGGGGAAUAUUGCGCAAUGGGGGCAACCCUGACGCAGCAACGCCGCGUGAUUGAUGAAGGUCUUCGGAUUGUAAAAAUCUUUAAUCAGGGACGAAACAAAUGACGGUACCUGAAGAAUAAGCUCCGGCUAACUACGUGCCAGCAGCCGCGGUAAUACGUAGGGAGCAAGCGUUAUCCGGAUUUACUGGGUGUAAAGGGCGUGUAGGCGGGCUGUAAGUUGGGAGUGAAAUCCAGGGGCUUAACCCCUGAACUGCUUUCAAAACUGCGGAUCUUGAGUGAUGGAGAGGCAGGCGGAAUUCCCAGUGUAGCGGUGAAAUGCGUAGAUAUUGGGAGGAACACCAG
rnacentral:rRNA from 1 species